AGCAAGCACCGGCUAACUCCGUGCCAGCAGCCGCGGUAAUACGGAGGGUGCAAGCGUUACUCGGAAUCACUGGGCGUAAAGCGCGCGCAGGCGGCUAUUUAAGUUGGAUGGGAAAGCCUACGGCUCAACCGUAGAACUGCAUCCAAAACUAUUUAGCUAGAGUGUGGGAGAGGAAGAUGGAAUUAGUUGUGUAGGGGUAAAAUCCGUAGAGAUAACUAGGAAUACCAAAAGCGAAGGCAAUCUUCUGGAACACUACUGACGCUGAGGCGCGAAGGCGUGGGGAGCAAACAGGAUUAGAUACCCUGGUAGUCCACGCAGUAAACGAUGAAUGUUAGUCGUCGGGGGCCUAGUGUCUUCGGUGAUGCAGCUAACGCAUUAAACAUUCCGCCUGGGGAGUACGGUCGCAAGAUUAAAACUCAAAGGAAUAGACGGGGACCCGCACAAGUGGUGGAGCAUGUGGUUUAAUUCGAAGAUACGCGAAGAACCUUACCUAGCCUUGACAUAUAUUAGAACUCCGCAGAGAUGCAGAGGUGCCUUCGGGAGCUUUUAUACAGGUGCUGCACGGCUGUCGUCAGCUCGUGUCGUGAGAUGUUGGGUUAAGUCCCGCAACGAGCGCAACCCUCGUCACUAGUUACUAACGGUUCGGCCGAGGACUCUAGUGAGACUGCCUUCGUAAGGAGGAGGAAGGUGAGGACGACGUCAAGUCAUCAUGGCCCUUACGGCUAGGGCAACACACGUGCUACAAUGGCCAGGACAAUGAGACGCGAUACCGCGAGGUGGAGCAAAUCUAUAAACCUGGUCUCAGUUCGGAUUGUAGUCUGCAACUCGACUACAUGAAGCUGGAAUCACUAGUAAUCGUAGAUCAGCUAUGCUACGGUGAAUACGUUCCCGGGUCUGUACUCACGCCCGUCACACCAUGGGGAGUUGAUUUCACCCGAAGCGGGGGAAGCUAAACUGGCUACCCCUCCCACGGUGGAAAUCA
rnacentral:rRNA from 1 species